rnacentral:rRNA from 1 species
UACAGAGGUGACUAACGUUGUCCGGAAUUAUUGGGCGUAAAGGGCGCGUAGGUGGUCAGGUAAGUCAGGUGUGAAAGCUCUGGGCUUAACCCAGGAAUUGCAUCUGAUACUGCUUGGCUUGAGUACGGUAGAGGAGGGUGGAAUUCCCAGUGUAGCGGUGAAAUGCGUAGAUAUUGGGAGGAACGCCGGUGGCGAAGGCGGCCCUCUGGACCGAAACUGACACUGAAGCGCGAAAGCUAGGGGAGCAAACGGG